AACGAACGCUGGCGGCAGGCUUAACACAUGCAAGUCGAGCGCCCCGCAAGGGGAGCGGCAGACGGGUGAGUAACGCGUGGGAAUCUACCCAUCUCUACGGAAUAACGCAUGGAAACGUGUGCUAAUACCGUAUACGUCCUUCGGGAGAAAGAUUUAUCGGAGAUGGAUGAGCCCGCGUUGGAUUAGUUAGUUGGUGGGGUAAAGGCCUACCAAGGCGACGAUCCAUAGCUGGUCUGAGAGGAUGAUCAGCCACACGGGGACUGAGACACGGACCAGACUCCUACGGGAGGCAGCAGUGGGGAAUAUUGGAGAAUGGGCGCAAGCCUGAUCCAGCCAUGCCGCGUUAGUGAUGAAGGCCCUAGGGUUGUAAAGCUCUUUCACCGGUGAAGAUAAUGACGGUAACCGGAGAAGAAGCCCCGGCUAACUUCGUGCCAGCCGCCGCCGUAAUAC
rnacentral:rRNA from 1 species